GACGAACCGUGCGAACGUUAUUCGGAAUCACUGGGCUUAAAGCGCGUGUAGGCGGGUCGGCGCGUCGGACGCUGAAAUCCCCCGGCUCAACCGGGGAAGGGGCGCCGAGACGGCCGGCCUGGAGGGACGUAGGGGGGGCUGGAACUUCCGGUGGAGCGGUGAAAUGCGUUGAGAUCGGAAGGAACGCCCGUGGCGAAAGCGAGCCCCUGGACGUCUACUGACGCUGAGACGCGAAAGCCAGGGGAGCGAACGGGG
rnacentral:rRNA from 1 species